rnacentral:rRNA from 1 species
CUCCUACGGGAGGCAGCAGUGGGGAAUUUUGGACAAUGGGGGCAACCCUGAUCCAGCAAUGCCGCGUGUGUGAAGAAGGCCUUCGGGUUGUAAAGCACUUUUGUCCGGAAAGAAAUGGCUCUGGUUAAUACCUGGGGUCGAUGACGGUACCGGAAGAAUAAGGACCGGCUGACUACGUGCCAGCAGCCGCGGUAAUACGUAGGGUCCAAGCGUUAAUCGGAAUUACUGGGCGUAAAGCGUGCGCAGGCGGUUGUGCAAGACCGAUGUGAAAUCCCCGAGCUUAACUUGGGAAUUGCAUUGGUGACUGCACGGCUAGAGUGUGUCAGAGGGGGGUAAAAUUCCACGUGUAGCAGUGAAAUGCGUAGAGAUGUGGAGGAAUACCGAUGGCGAAGGCAGCCCCCUGGGAUAACACUGACGCUCAUGCACGAAAGCGUGGGGAGCAAACAGGAUUAGAUACCCUGGUAGUCCACGCCCUAAACGAUGUCAACUAGUUGUUGGGGAUUCAUUUCCUUAGUAACGUAGCUAACGCGUGAAGUUGACCGCCUGGUGAGUACGGUCGCAAGAUUAAAACUCAAAGGAAUUGACGG